UACUCUGAGGGUGGAGAUCUAUUCCACCUAUAUAGAGUGGAACACUGAUACAGGAAGACAGGAAGAGUGUGAUUGUAGAGACACAGGAAGUAAUACCACAGCAGGGCAGGAAGUGAUGUUGCAGUAUAAAAAGGAAGUUUCGAGUGAGAGGUGAGUUGAGAAGAAGUAGAGAGGAGACAUUGCUGGAACUGGCAGGAGAUGAGUGCCUUCACCUCAUUCCCAAACAGUUAGAAGACGAUUCUAGAAGCCACCAACAAGUCCAUUGAUCUGCUGACAGGAGAGGUUCCUAUAAGGUGUCAGGAGGUCACUGUCUAUUUCUCCAU